UACGAACCGUCCAAACGUUACUCGGAAUCACUGGGCUUAAAGGGUGCGUAGGCCGCGCGGAGGGUGGGAUGUGAAAUCCCCCGGCUCAACCGGGGAAUAGCGUCCCAAACCGCCGUGCUCGAGGGAGACAGAGGUGAGCGGAACUGAUGGUGGAGCGGUGAAAUGCGUUGAUAUCAUCAGGAACACCUGUGGCGAAAGCGGACUCACUGGGUCUUACCUAACGCUGAGGCACGAAAGCUAGGGGAGCGAACGGGA
rnacentral:rRNA from 1 species